GAUGAACGCUAGCGGCAGGCCUAAUACAUGCAAGUCGAGGGGUAGAAGAGGCUUGCUUCCUUGAGACCGGCGCACGGGUGCGUAACGCGUAUGCAACCUACUUUCAUCUGGGGGAUAACCCGGAGAAAUCCGGAUUAAUACCGCAUAAAAUCACAGGAUGGCAUUAUCCAAUGAUCAAACAUUUAUGGGAUGGAGAUGGGCAUGCGUGUCAUUAGCUAGUUGGCGGGGUAACGGCCCACCAAGGCGACGAUGACUAGGGGAUCUGAGAGGAUGGCCCCCCACACUGGUACUGAGACACGGACCAGACUCCUACGGGAGGCAGCAGUAAGGAAUAUUGGUCAAUGGAGGCAACUCUGAACCAGCCAUGCCGCGUGCAGGAAGACUGCCCUAUGGGUUGUAAACUGCUUUUAUUCGGGAAUAAACCUUAUUACGUGUAAUAAGCUGAAUGUACCGAAGGAAUAAGGAUCGGCUAACUCCGUGCCAGCAGCCGCCGUAAGAC
rnacentral:rRNA from 1 species